rnacentral:rRNA from 1 species
AACGAACGCUGGCGGCAUGCCUAACACAUGCAAGUCGAACGAGACCUUCGGGUCUAGUGGCGCACGGGUGCGUAACGCGUGGGAACCUGCCCUUAGGUUCGGAAUAACUCUCCGAAAGGGGUGCUAAUACCGGAUAAUGUCUUCGGACCAAGGAUUUAUCGCCCUUGGAUGGGCCCGCGUUGGAUUAGCUAGUUGGGAGGGUAAAAGCCUACCAAGGCGACGAUCCAUAGCUGGUUUGAGAGGAUGGUCAGCCACACUGGGACUGAGACGCGGCCCAGACUCCUACGGGAGGCAGCAGUGGGGAAUAUUGGACAAUGGGCGAAGGCCUGAUCCAGCAAUGCCGCGUGAGUGAUGAAGGCCUUAGGGUUGUAAAGCUCUUUUACCCGGGAUGAUAAUGACAGUACCGGGAGAAUAAGCUCCGGCUAACUCCGUG